AAAAAAAGAAAACUUAAAAUCAGAUUUUAGAAGAAUUCAUGAACCCUAAUUCAUCUUCUAGUGAACCAUCGGAAAAAAAAUUCAUCCUCUUGCUCUCGCCGGUGGUGGCUCGACCGCCGCGAUUCCUUCCUUUGCACCACCGUGUUCCAGCUUCAUUUUGAGCACGGGCCUCCUCCCUCGUUCUAGAUUCCUUCCUUUGAACCGCAAGUCCACCUCCGCCAUCCGUUGCAAGCCCUCUCCCUCGUCGCCGCAAGCCUCGUUUAUUGCACUUUUGCAGCUCCUUUUGAUCUGACUAAAAUCACCUCCUCCGCCGUCGCAAGCCGUAAGUGUGUAUUUGGAGAUGAAGAGACUGAGUGCAGGAGUUAGAAGAAGCAGACUUGUUUUUGCUUGAAAUAACAACCCCUGUCAAUGAUUUUUCAGUCAUAUGGGCAGACCUUCAAUUUGGGUGUGCUUUUUUGAGCAGCAGUGUUUGUAAAAGAAAAAAAGGAGAGAGUGGAGUUACUUCCAAGUCAGCCAGAUAUGCAAAGAGCUCAUCUUCCCAUUGUGAAUCUCCAAUCUUCAUUCUUGAUGUUCAACACAUAUGUUCUCCCAGGUAAUAGCCAUGUUCAUGCUGCAAUUUGAGUUGAUGGGGCUUAAUAGGCAGCAGAAUAAAUUGUGGAAGGUGGUCUGGCUUGCUGUUAUAUGGACAGUGUGGAAUGGCAGAAACAACCUGGUGUUUAGAGAGGUGGAGAUGGAGAUAGAAAGAUUGUUUGAGAUGGUACAAAUUUGUUCAUGGAACUGGAUUACGGCUGGACUCCAAGGAUUUUCCUCUUCCUUCUUUGAAUGGGUUUCGAACCCGAUUCAAUGCAUUAAACCUGUCUACUGGUGCCGUGGAGGGGCAGUAGGAAUUCUCUAUUGAGGUGUGUUGUUUGGUCGAAGGGAAUUCUCUACUGAAUGCGUGAAGAUUAUUAUGUAGAAUAGGUUGAAUUUGAAUUAUCAAUAAUGUACUCUUACUGAAUAUGCACUAUUGAACUUCAGUAGUUGCACAAUGAUGUAACAAGUUUUGAUUGCAAUAAAACGAGACUUGAAAUCUAA